ACAAUUCACUAAUUAAAUUCAGUGUGGAAAGCUAAGUGAAUAGAACAAAAUAAUGAUUCAUCAUAAAGCAUGGGAAAAAUAAGUUUGAAAAAAAAUGGUGGGUGUUGUGGCUUUAGUGUGAAAGGAGGGAGGAAUGUGGUUUUGGAAAAGUGAAAAAUAAUAAAGGUUGGGGUGAGGGAGAACAUGAGGGUUUGUAAGUAAUGAGAUGGGAAAAAUAGAAGGGGAAAAAGGGAUAAUGGGAAUGGGUUCAUGGUUUUUUUAAAAGAAAAGAAAAGAAGGGAGAUGAGAAGAGUGAGGGUUGAAGUACCUGAAAAACACUAGAAGUGGGUGGAGGUUGAAUAGUGUUAAUGGAAAACGUUUUCACAACCCUUCUGAUGUAGCACAUUGUCGAGCUCUUGAAAUAUUCUUUUGAAAGCUUAAAUGCUCGACUUGAGAAAUAUGUAUAAUCAUUGAUAAGUUUGGCCAUUCCUAGUACUCAGCAGCCUGUUGAGAUUUCAUUUGAGUCACACCAUUCCUAGUACUAGACUACCGCGCAUAGUUCAGUUGUAAGUGUUUUAAUUCUCUUCAGAAUUGUAAUCAACGAUUUCUGACAAGUAGUUCAGAUUAUAUCUCUCAACAAGAGGAUUUGAAUACAAUAUUAAUGCAGUCUAAACACUUGCAGGUGUUUCUCUCUUCUCUUUUAUAGUAGUAAGCAAUUUGACAAUGAAGUUCGAGAAUAUCUCUUUCUCUUUUUCUCUUCUCUUCUCUUUUCUUCAGCUCAGAUGUAUUCUUUUUAUUGAGAUCUUUAUCUUUUUAUCUUCAGGAUGAAUAUGUCAUUGUAAGCUAUUCUUUCUUAAGAUU
rnacentral:lncRNA from 1 species